rnacentral:lncRNA from 1 species
CCCGCCCCGGAGUCUGGUUUCAGUCAUCCUUUGUCCCGGCCCCGAUUGGCAGGUUUUAUUAUUCCGCCUCAACAAUCCGGCCGCCCAGUGGCUGAGGGUCGCUGACGUCGGCGGCAGAGCCGGGAGCAGUUGGGAUUCUGCUCCGUCAGUAACACAUGGGGAAGAGCCGCGCCGGGAGCCCGCGAGCCGGCUAGAGGCCCGCCCGCCGCCGCCGCCGCCGCCGCCGCCGCCGCCACCGCCGCCGCCGCCGCCGCCGCCGCCGCCGCCUCCGAGCCGGGCACAGCCGCCCCGGUAGCCGCCCCGGCCGCGGCGCAGGCUCGGGCGCUCCGGGCCCCGCCGCCCAGCUCCCCGCCUCNNNNNNNNNNNNNNCGCCCCGGCCGCCGCCGCCGCCGCCGCUCCCGGGGCCGAGGUGGCCGCGGCCGCCCCCCGGCCGGAGGUGCAGGAAGCCCGGCCGAGCGCCCGCCGCCGCCGCCGCCGGCCGCCCCGAGCGAGCGGGCGCGCGGGAGGGAGGCAGGCGGAGGAGGAGGAGGAGCAGCGGAGGCGCGCGGGCGGGCGGGGCGGGGGCCGCCGGGCGGGGAUAUACAAAGUGAAGCCACAUUGCCAAACUUGCAGCGGCGAUUGCAGCAGUUGCUGCCGCGGCGCCGCGGCCCGAGGGCUCCUGCGGCUGCUCGCGCCCAGCCGGACGCCGAGGAGCACGACCCGGACCGAGACGGACACUUCUGCUCCCCGCCGCCUGCCACUGACGCGGGCCCCCCAGCCCAGCCCCAGAGCCGCGCGUUAAAAAAAAAAAAAAAAAAAAAAAAAAGCCCUUCGCCCCCUCCUCCCCUUUCCUGCCUCUGCGAGGACAUCCCCCUCCCUCCUGCUCCGCCAGCCCCGGCGCCCCUUCCUCGGAAGCCGAGCGGCUUCGCUCGCAUUUCGCCGCCGCCGCCUCGCGCAGUCUUGCAAUAUAGGGGAAAAGCAGAGAAAACAUUCAUUGAUCUUCAAAAUGAAAUGAGAUUUGGAACAAUAAUGGGAGAUGGCGGUCACCACAAUGGCAUGUGAAAGGUGCUGUUUAAAAUACGAAAAACCAGUUUCGCAACUUUACACAGCGCACCCCCCGCUCCGGUCCCCUCGGCUCCCCUCCCACCCCCAGCUCCCCUUCUCCCCUCGGCGGGUUCCUCCCUUCCCUUUCUGGAAGCCCAACUCUUUCCAACUUGGGAACUGCAGCUGCACCUCCCGAGGCAGCGCAGGGCCGGGAACGUGGCUCCGGCGGGGGCCGCCUCCCCGCGCCCCUCGGCGGGGCCCGGGGAGGGGCCGGGCGCGGCGGUGGGUGGGUUCGCCCCUCGUUUGCUGCGGGCGGCGGCGGCGGCGGCGGCGGGGGC